GUUUAUCGCAAGGAGCGAUUUGUUUUGAAACUCUAAGGAGAGUCGCUUGAAUAGAAGUAUAAAAAAAGUAUUUUGUGAGUUUAAGUAUGUAAAUAGAAACAGAGUUUUGGCGAUAGGGUAGAGUACUGUGAAGGAGAGUUGAAAUAUAUUUAAAAGGUAUUAAUGGUGAAGUAUAAAUAGAAUUUAGUACCUUGUGUAUUAGGGAUAUUUUAUAUUAAGUAGUUAUAUUUAUUUUUCCCGAAAUAAGGAUAGCUAGGUUGAGGGAUAAGUUUUUGUGUUAAAAAGAUUUGAAACUUCAUCUUAGUAGUGAAAUGUUAAUCGGGCUUUAAGAUAUCUGGUUUUUUUUGAAAAAAAUUUAAUUUUUUCCUUACAUUAGAGAAUGGUAAGGCAUAGGGGUAGGGGGGUAAAGCUCCUUAUCUGACAAUUAGUACUAUAAGGAUAUAAGAAAUUGGUGUAAAACUGGGCUUAAGGGUAGCUAUGUUUUCAAAGGGUUAUACCUGGGACAUAUUUACGGUGAAUAUUUAUAUAUUUUUUGGGAAGGUAAAAAAGAGUUUUUUAAGAUUUAAUUUAAAAAUUUAAAAUGAAUAUAUUAGUAUAUAAAGUAUCUUGUAAGUUAUCUAUAUUAAAUAGAUUAAUAAAUUUAUUAGAGCGUUUGAUAGGACAAAGGAAUUCGGCAAACGGAUAUUUCCGCCUGUUUAUCAAAAACAUGUCUGUAUGAUAGUUUUAUAGAGUCUAGCCUGCCCAUUGGGAACUGAAAGGCCGCGGUAUUAUGACCGUGCGAAGGUAGCAUAAUCAUUAGUCUUUUAAUUGGAGGCUGGAAUGAAUGGUUGGACGAGAAAUAAACUGUCUUUGUCCUAAAAAUUGAAUUUAACUUUUAAGUGAGAGGGCUUAAAUGUAUUAAAGGGACGAUAAGACCCUGUAAAGUUUAUACAUUAAGUUAAUUAAAAAUAAUUAAGGAGAUUAAAAUUUAUUAUUGGGUAGAUGUUUAGUUGGGGCGACUAGGAUAUAAUUUAAUUAUAACUGUCUUAGAUUAAGGUCAAAGAUAUUUGAGUUUGUGAUCCUUUCUUAGGAUUCAAGAACAAGUUACUUCAGGGAUAACAGCGUAAUUUUUUUUGAGAGUUCUUAUCGACAAAAGAGUUUGCGACCUCGAUGUUGAAUUAAAAGUUUCUCUGAAGUGUAGCAAUUUCAGGAGAAGGUCUGUUCGACCUUUAAAUUUUUACAUGAUUUGAGUUCAGACCGGCGAGAGCCAGGUUGGUUUCUAUCUUUUAAGAAAUAUAGAAUUAUUUUAGUACGAAAGGAUCAAAUAGUUGAAAUAGUUUUAGUUAAGUAAUUAAAAAAUUAGCUUUCGGCUGAGGACGAGUAUUCAGGGAAAAAAGCA
rnacentral:rRNA from 1 species